UACGGGGGGGGCAAGCGUUGUUCGGAAUUACUGGGCGUAAAGGGCUCGUAGGCGGCCAACUAAGUCAGACGUGAAAUCCCUCGGCUUAACCGGGGAACUGCGUCUGAUACUGGAUGGCUUGAGUUUGGGAGAGGGAUGCGGAAUUCCAGGUGUAGCGGUGAGAUGCGUAGAUAUCUGGAGGAACACCGGUGGCGAAGGCGGCAUCCUGGACCAACACUGACGCUGAGGAGCGAAAGCCAGGGGAGCAAACGGG
rnacentral:rRNA from 1 species